CAUGUGUCAAAACAGUAAGAACAGAUAAUGGCCCAGAGUUUCUUAUUCCUCAUUUUUAUGCAUCUAAGGGUAUCAACCACCAAACUAGCUGUGUUGAAACUCCCCAACAAAAUGGGAGAGUGGAACGCAAACAUCAACACAUGCUUAAUGUGGGUAGAGAUUUAUUGUUUCAGUCAAAAUUACCAAAAAAAAUUGGUCCUAUGCAUUAGUUCAUGUUGUCUUCAUAAUUAAUCGUGUCAAUACACCCUUGUUACAACAUAAGUCACCUUGUCAAUUACUAUACUCUAAACCUCCUGACCUUAAUCAACUCAAGGUGUUUGGCUCUUUGUGUUAUGCUUCCACCCUACACAACCAUAGAACCAAACUUGAUUGUCGAGCCAGAAAAUGUAUAUUUUUAGGUUACAAAACAGGAAUGAAAGGUGUCAUACUUUAUGAUCUCAAUAGUAAGAAAGUGUUUGUAUCUCGAGAAGUCAUACACCAGGAUCAUAUCCUGCCCUACCAUAGCACAUCUUCUUCUACGCCAUGUACUUACCACACCUCUUCUCCAAAUAAACUCUCAACACCUAACACCUCUCUUUAUGAUGACUUUCCUGUUACCACUACUAACCCAACUAUACCUUCACCUACCACUACUGAACCCAUAAACCACCAUACCUCUGACACAACUCCAUCCUACAGACACAUUGCUUGACACUAAGUUAUCCCUCACAUUGAAUCUACUACUACUGAUGCUUCAGUUACACAUUCACCACCCAUUACUACUCCUGCACCAGCUCUUAGAAGAUCAACUAGAGUGUCCACCAAACCUCCACACCUCACAGAUUACUUGUGCAAUCUUUCAAGCAAUUCUCCUGAGCAAUCUCCUUCAGGUAUCUUCUAUCCCCUGUCUGAUUAUCACUCCUAUUCUAAUGUUUCUACUACUCUUGGUAAGUUUGCUUUGGCAUUAACUGCCACUGUUGAACCUAAGUCCUAUAACGAGGCCAGCAAACACCAAUGCUGGAUUGAUGCGAUGGACAUAGAGUUAGAAGCUUUGAAACAGAAUAGAACCUUGGAUAUAUGUUGAUCCACCUCCACACAUCAAACCCAUAGGGAGCAAAUCGGUAUACAAGGUCAAACACAAGUCUGAUGGAUCCAUUGAAAGGUAUAAGGCACGUUUAGUGGCCAAAGGUUAUAAUCAAGUUGAGGGGCUUGAUUUCUUUGACACAUUUUCCCCAGUUGCCAAAAUUACCACAGUCAGGACCUUGAUUGCUAUAGCUUCUCUUAAAUCUUGGCAUUUACAUCAAAUGGAUGUGAAUAAUGCAUUUUUACAUGGAGAUUUACAAGAGGAUGUAUACAUGACUGUACCUCCAGGUGUGACUAGUCCCAAGCCAAAUCAAGUAUGCAAAUUACUCAAAUCUCUCUAUGGUCUUAAACAGGCUAGUAGGAAGUGGUAUGAACGACUCACUGCCUUAUUGGUUAAGCAACGUUACAAGCAAUCCAACUCUGGUCAUUCUUUAUUCACUUUAACCAACAAGUCAGAAUUCACUGCCCUUCUCGUUUACGUUGAUGACAUUAUUCUAGCUGGCAACUCUCUGGCUGAAUUUGAUAGGAUCAAAAGGAUCAUGGAUGAUGAGUUUAAAAUCAAGGAUUUGGGAAAGUUGAAGUACUUCCUUGGCAUAGAGGUAGCACAUUCUAAACAAGGAAUCUCUAUUUGCCAAAGAAAGUAUUGUUUGGAUUUAUUGCUUGAUACUGGCCUGAGCCUCACAGGUUCUAAACCUGCUCCUACACCACUUGACUCUUCUGUGAAACUAUACCAAGACUCAAGUGCUGCUUAUGAAGACAUAGGAGGUUACAGAAGACUCAUGGGGAAAUUGUUGUAUCUCACAACUACUAGACCAGACAUUGCAUUUGCCAUUCAACAACUUAGUCAAUUUUUAUCAUCUCCCACUAUUACUCAUUAUGACACUGCAUGUAGGGUGGUGAAAUACUUGAAGAGUAACCCAGGUAGAGGCAUGUCUUUACCCAGACAUUCUACUCUACAGUUAUCGGGUUUUGCUGAUGCUGAUUGGGCAAAUUGCAUUGAUACAAGGAGGUCAACUUCUGGAUACUGUUUUUUCUUAGGUUCUUCCCUAAUUUCUUGGAGCUAAGAAACAGAACAUUGUAUCUCGAAACUCAUCUGAAGCUGAGUAUCGGUCCCUUUCUUUUGCUACUUGUGAGAUGCAGUGGUUACUUUACUUGUUCCAUGACUUAGGCAUCACAUUUGACCGACUUCCAGUCCUUUAUUGUGACAAUCAAAGCGCAAUCCACAUUGCUGCCAAUCCUGUCAUCUACGAAUGCACUAAACAUCUUGAGAUCGAUUGCCAUUUGGUGCGUGACAAGGUUCAACAAGGAGUGUUCAAAUUGCUUCCAGUUUCCACCAAGUGUCAACUUGCAGACUUCUUCACUAAGACCUUGCCCCCUAAGACUUUCAAUUCAUUCAUUUCCAAGCUGGGUAUGAAUAACAUAUACCAUACUCCAGCUUGUGGGAGGGUAUUACAUGAUAAUAAUGAUCAAGUGCUGGAGCAUGAUAACAAUAGUGUAGAACAUGUAGCUUAGUUCAUCUUGAUUAAUUUGUUAGAGGCAGUUAUGCCAGCUAAGCUAGUCAGUUACACAGUUGGCAUUGUAUAUAAGCUAACUCUCUUUGUAACUCUCAUUGUAACAUUUCAUUUUUCUCAAUUCAUUCUAAUAGAUUUCUCAUUUUCUCUCAUGAGUUCUUAUUCUUUUCUCUCCAUUGGUACCAUCUUCAAGAAAUGGAACUUCUAUCAUAUUGUGGAAAUGUAGGAAAACAAGUCUGUAACUUAAAAGGGAUAGCAGAAUUGGAUAUCACAGUACAGGCAUACACAAAAAAUACAAAGAUGAAAGAUAGUAUAGGCAAUUUGAGAGGCCUAGUCUGUCUCAAAGAUUCCAACUGAAUUCCAGUCUACCCCCACUCUUGCCUCACUUCUCCAUAAUAUUUCCUCAGCCACAUUGUCCACAUCACAACCCUCAACACCACUAACUGCCAACUCAGCAAGUGGUUACUCAGUUGGGCCUCCUCCUUCUUGGGUUGUAUCCCGCAUGUAACCCCCUUUCUCCUCACAUAGACUCGGGUUAUUUUAAGAGUUAUAUUAUAAUCAAAGAGGAUUGAAGAGAAUACAUUAUACAUUAUGAGUGGAAAGGGACAGAAAUCCCACAAAUAUAUUCAUAUUCAUAGUAUUCAUAAUAACAAUAUUAUCAAACAAAUCAAACCUUCAAUUUCUUCAUCGUCAAGAGGGGCAUCCUUGUCGAAUUCAAAUCGCUCCCAGCCCACACCUUUUUCUGAAUCACGUGCAGCUGCAUUUGAAAGUACAGGAUAAAAGAGAAUGAACAAAAUAUGGAUAAACUAUCUCAUUUGGCAAGGUAGGAAACAACUAUUUCUAACCACACUUUGACUUUGAGUAUGAAACAUUUUAAUUUUCUUCAACAAUACCCUACCCUCAUAUAUAUACCACUAGAUAGUGGCAACCUAACCCAGAGACUUAUACAAAAUGAUCAUACUGCAAGAAUAUCAAACAGGGAGACAACUCAAGCCAAAGAUUAAAUUUUCAGAAUUCAGAGUAGACCUAAACAGCAAGCUUUGGAAAUUUGAAAACUAUUCUUAAACAAGUACACAACAGCGAAGAUUUCCGGUAAAUUUAACGUCAGUCAUAAUAAGUAUAGAACAAAUGAAUUUUUCAUUAGAAACCAUAUGGUGCGCAUAGGUACAUUUGAGAAUAUGACCAACUACUUCCUAUAAGGUGCCAUACUAAGUAUAGAACAAAUGAAUACUUCCUAUAAGGUGUCAUGCUAAGUAUAGAACAAAUUAAUUUUUCAUUAGAAACCAUGGUGCACAUAGGUACAUUUGAGAAUAUGAACAACUACUUCCUAUAAGGUGUCAUAAUAAGUAUAGACCAAAUGAAUUUUUCAUUCAAAACCAUAUGGCGCGCAUAGUUACAUUUGAUUAUUUGAUAUAUGAACAACUACUUCAUAUACGGUCUUUAAUUGACUUACCAGUUUCAGAAAGCUGGACCUUCAUCUUGGCUUUGACUCUUUCAGCAGGUGCCUAUUCAUAAUUCAUAAUCACAAACAUACAUAAGUAACAUAACAAUGACUCAUUCAUAACACUUGAAACAUAAAACUUAAAUCUCAAUUAACCAAUUAAACUAGCAUAUAAAAAACAUAACAAUGAAAUUAAGAAGCUUUUAAUUACCAUAUUAUCAUAACCAUCAAUUAGUUUAGCAUAAUCAACACCAGCAUUCUUCCCCUUUGUCCUCUCACUCAUUUUCCCUCUUUCCCUAACAUCACUUGAUUUCACCUCAGACCGAUAUUGUGUCAGGGGAGAAACAAUUCUACUUCUACUCCUCCUUCUCCCUCUUUCCCUUUUCCUCCUAUCUCUACCCCUAUCACCAUCCGAAUUGCUUCGGCUUCGACUUCGGCUUCUAUCGGCAUCUCUAUCACGAUCCCUGUAUCUACUAUAUCUCUCUCUACUCCUACUUCUCCUCCUCCUUGAAUCCCUAUCCCUAUCUCUUUCCCUAUACCUAUCUCUGCUUCUACUCCUACUUCGCCUUUUUCUUCUAUCGCUAUCCCUAGAAGAAGAAUCGUGAUUUGUUUUCUCAGAAACCCUAGAUUCGGUUGUAGGUUUCUUUUUAAGCUUGUUUUGAAUGGAUUGGAGCUGGGAUUUUCUAUCGGGCUCGGAAGGGACGGUGGUGGUGGUUGCAGUGGUGGAGGAGGAAGAGGCUUUGACGAAUUGUGAGAGAAAUGAAGAGGAAGAAACAAUAGCUGAACCGGGUUUAGGAACGUCGUCGUUUGAUGUGGAUGUGGAAAAGCCGAGACCUUGUUUGAACUUUGCGGCUCCCUCACCUUUUCGAGUGAGCUCGUCGUAGUAUGCUGCAGCUUUUUCUUCUUCCAUCUUCCUCUAUCGCUGUUCUUUCACCAAUAUCAAACAAAGAUUAUUCAAAAAAAAAAAUUGAAGGAAAUUUUUUAAAUACAACUUUAAAAAAAAAUAUAUAUAUAUAUAUAUAUAUAUAUAUAUAUAUAUAUAUAUAUAUAUAUAUAUAUAUAUAUAUAUAUAUAUAUUGGCUAUAUAGGUCUUUACCCUUGCAAAGUAUGCGAAUUUUGUUUUAGUCUAUGUAAAAAAAAUUGUGAUUUUCCUCCCUCAUAAUGUGAACAUUAUUAUCUUUUACCUUCUCAAUAGACAACUUAUCAUAGAAUCUUCAUUUUUUUUUAUGAUGCGGCAAGCUGACUGUAUAUUUAUAUUUUUUAUAUUUAAUUUCAGCUCACUUUUUAAAAAUAAAAAAUAAAAAUCAUACAAUAACAAUAAUAAAAUUCAUCAUCUUCAUCACCAUAACCACCAUUUUUCCACUACCACCACUGCACCGCCAUUUCUCCACCACAAUCGCAACAAUACCAUUAUUUUUUUUUUACCCUUUCUACGUCAAAUGACCCUCUUUCACCAACAACUAUUUCAUAAAUUUUCACGCCAAGAACAAGAACGAACAACAACAAGACAAAUACAACAAUAACAACAACGUGAUUUGGUGAGUGACAAUGGUGAAUGGUGUGAGGAUGGUGAACAACAACCACAACAACAAAACCAUCGAUUCUAUAAAGCAAAUCUUAGAAAAACCAAAACUCGAACCCAUUUGUUUACAAAGCUCAAACAUAUUCUAAACUAAUAAAGCAACAACUCAAAAUCAUCUAAAAGACAAACUCUGAAAAAAUUUAACCCUUCAUAUUCUAAAACAUAAACCCAAAAAAUAGAAAUUCAAAUCGUUAAUUAAGAACAUGAAAUAACAAAUCAAAACCCCUAUCGUUAAUUUGAAGAAAAGAAAUACGAAACCCAUAAAUAAGAAACCCAAAUCGAAAAAUUAAGAACAUAAAUAUAAUUAAUUUGAAGAAACUCAUAUUGAAGCCUGAGAACUCAUAUCGUAAGUGUCGAUGUCGUCCUUGAAACCCAUAAAUUAAGAACAUAUACUAAUUUGUUUGUGCUUCUUUUCAUUUCAAAUUUACAAAUUUUUUUAUAUUUUAAUUUUUCAUUAAUUAAUUUGUUAACAACAACAUAAUGUACACAUACAUUUUAACACGGGUAAAAAAUUUGUUACAAAUGAGAUCUAUAUGUGGUAGGUAACAAUGAUUUUUAUUAAAUAAUUGUGUUAUAAUUAUGUUUUAUUAUUUAAAUGUUAUAACAAUGUCUAGUGGUGCAAUAAUAUCGUAAUUUGAACAAAAUUCUAUAUAUAUUUCACAUACUCAUACAUAAUUGAAAUUUGCUUUAUAAGAUUCCCCAGCUUAAAAUAUACAUCCUGCAAAAAGAAACAUAUUGUGUAAUAUUUCAAGAAAAUGAUGCUUAUAAUCAAAACUUCACUAUUACAACCACCUGUUAAAUUCGGGAUCAUAGUUGUAGUCUAUGACGCAAUAUCAACAUAUUUUAUAUAUUAGUUGUGUCUGUUUAAUGGCAAAUAUAUUUUCCUGGAUUUCCACGACACAAUCAUCAACCACAUGUGUGGAGAAAUUGUUAAACGAGUUUCUAUCAAACAAAACUCAUACACUGUUGAGGAGCAUGUUGUGUUCCUCACCCUUUUGAUCAGUGUUUUCAUAUAAUCUCACUUUGAACAACAAUAGUGUAUAAAAAAGGAAAAAAAGAAUAAGAAGAAGAAGAAGAUAAAUAUAUUUUGUAAGUAGAUACAUCGCAUCUAACUCAAUUUGAACCUCUAAUCAUUUUUCAACGCACGUACUUCCAUUUGAGAUUUACAAGAUUCUUCGGUGAUCUAUAUUUGUUUGCUUGAAAUGGAAGACAAUGCCUUGAGGUUGAAGAAUUAUGAUUAACUUCAUUGCAAAUACACUUCUCACCAUCAAUUCCAUCUAGACAGUUCAAUGAAUUUUUAUAAAUAUCUUUUUGAGUAAUUUCAAAGCAAGGACAUAUUUUAUUUUUGCAUUCUUCUUGUCACAUGUUGAAAUUGACAUUUGAAAUAUAUUUUCAAAGUUUUCGUUUAGGGUAACCUUCACCCUUUUAAUACAUUUCAAACAAAAAAUAUUUUGUCAUUCGAAAUAUUCUCCACAAACUCAAAUUAGGAACGUGUUUUACCGCAUAGCUCUUGUAACUUUUUUUUCCUACAAAAGUACUUGAUUUGGGAAAGAUUUUUCCUAGUAUAUAAACAAGACAAAUAUGAUAAAUUAAUAAGUGAAUUAAACUUAUCAAUCAUAGUGUAAAAAUUGUAACGUAUUUAACAAUUGUGAAAAUGUCACUAUAAGCAUGAGUAAACGAAUUCAUGAAAUAGACUUUCCUUUAUUGAAAUAGUAUUGAGCAUCACUUUCAUUAUCAAUUGCUUCGUUAACUAUCCCUACUUGAAGUAGGUAGCUUUGCAUUACUUUCCACAGGCUAAGGUAAUAAUGUUUUCCAAUGGACUCUGAUUUAGAAGUCAAGUAGAAAACUUUGAAAACUUUUUUUAUGACUUUUUCCUCCACUUCUAUAAGUUUCUUUCAUUGAUCAAUUUUUGGUAUAUUUUCAUCCUCUACUUCAUAAUUUUUCGUAAAUAUUUUCUCAAAGACUGCUUCAAAUAAAUUAUCGGCUUUCUUUGCAUAUAGUAGAGUCUAACAAGUAAAAGAAGACCAACGAGAUAUUACAUGUUGGGGAACAAUGCAAGGUAAACAAUGUCAUUUGCAAGAAACCUUUUACUCAUGUCAAGGUAUAUAUUUUUAGCAACAAAAUCGAAUCGCUAGCUUUUGUUGUUAGCUAAUCAAAGAAGGAAAAAAAAUAAGGAAAUCAUUAUGUGAAUUUUAAAGUCAUUGUUAAUUACUUAUCUCGUGUAGCUCGCCAUUUGCAAAGAGUCUUUUACUUGUGUCAAGGUGUAAAUAUCCGGUAGCAAAAACAUUAUGACUGUCUUUUGUUGUUAGCUAAUUAAGGAAAACAUGAGAAAGUCAUUUUGUGAUUUGAAGAAGAAAAAAAUGGAGUCCAAUAAACUUUAUAAAAUCAUGAUUUACUUCUUUGGAGAGAUCAAAUUCAACUUCAAGUUUUUUUGCAAUCUCUUGAGCGUUCUUGAACGUGAUAUGCGCUUUGAAAUUCAUUUCAUGAUUGUGUGACCCGAUCAUUGGGAAAUAUAGGUUUCGUAGAAAUCUUGUAAAACACAUGAGUUUUCUUUAAGUCCAUCUUCCCAAGCACUCAAGUUUGUAAGAUUUCGAUCUACCUCAAAGAACACACCGUGCACAAAAGAAACACAUGGGGUUCAUUGAGUCUUCGAGUCAACCAUAGUGAUGACAAUCAUUCCUUAACUUUAAUUGCUAUAGAUUAUAUGUUCAAAAAAAUAAAAUAUACCUUCAAUUGUGAUAAAUCUAUAAUAUUAAAAAGAAGUAUUAUGGUAUUACUUUCCAAUAUUCAAAUGUCAGGAAUGUCGUUAUCUUUGUAAAUAUUUUGCCACAACUUUAAGAAACCUUUGAAGAUUUGUUGUUUAAUAUGUAAAGUAAAAUAAAAUGCAAGCAUAAAGAUUGAAACUUUUAGUUCCUCACCCUUUGGAUGAGUGUUUUCAUAUAAUUUGGAACCAUAAUUGUAGUCUAUGAGGCAAUAUCAACAUACAUUAAAUAUUAGUUGUAUCCGUUUAAUGACAAACUAGUCCCACACUCGUGCGAUGCACAGGUGUUAUGUGAUAUUUUAUAUUAUAAUGUUGAAAAAUUAUUCGUAUAAAUUGUAACAAUAAGUAUUAUAAAAUGAAAAUUAUAAUAAUAAUAAUAAUAAUAAUAAUAAUAAUAUAAAAGUGAUGUACUUAUCNNNNNNNNNNNNNNNNNNNUGCAACGCAUAGGCGACACACUAAAAUUGAAUGAAAUAUGAUAAUGAUAAUGAUUAUUAUAUAUUUCAAUUUCAUAACCUAACUUUUUGCAUAACCUUCACUCUUCUCUAAAAUUAUAAUGUUUGUAACUUAAAAAAAUAAAAUAAAUAAAUAAAAAAACAUCAACUGAAGUGAAAGUGAAACACAAAGUACACACACAUGUAAGUGACUUUGGUACUAAAGAAAACAAAAUAAAAAGGCUACUCGCACAAAGUACACCCGGAAGUUACUAAGUUGUUACUUUGACUUUGGCAAAUCAAGCCACUCGCUCGCACGCACGCACUUUCUUCUCUUCUCUUCCUUACUAGUCCCACACCCGUGCGAUGCACAGGUGUUAUGUGAUAUUUUAUAUUAUAAUGUUGAAAAAUUAUUCGUAUAAAUUGUAACAAUAAGUAUUAUAAAAUGAAAAUUAUAAUAAUAAUAAUAAUAAUAANNNNNNNNNNNNNNNNNNNNNNNNNNNNNNNNNNNNNNNNNNNNNNNNNNNNNNNNNNNNNNNNNNNNNNNNNNNNNNNNNNNNNNNNNNNNNNNNNNNNNNNNNNNNNNNNNNNNNNNNNNNNNNNNNNNNNNNNNNNNNNNNNNNNNNNNNNNNNNNNNNNNNNNNNNNNNNNNNNNNNNNNNNNNNNNNNNNNNNNNNNNNNNNNNNNNNNNNNNNNNNNNNNNNNNNNNNNNNNNNNNNNNNNNNNNNNNNNNNNNNNNNNNNNNNNNNNNNNNNNNNNNNNNNNNNNNNNNNNNNNNNNNNNNNNNNNNNNNNNNNNNNNNNNNNNNNNNNNNNNNNNNNNNNNNNNNNNNNNNNNNNNNNNNNNNNNNNNNNNNNNNNNNNNNNNNNNNNNNNNNNNNNNNNNNNNNNNNNNNNNNNNNNNNNNNNNNNNNNNNNNNNNNNNNNNNNNNNNNNNNNNNNNNNNNNNNNNNNNNNNNNNNNNNNNNNNNNNNNNNNNNNNNNNNNNNNNNNNNNNNNNNNNNNNNNNNNNNNNNNNNNNNNNNNNNNNNNNNNNNNNNNNNNNNNNNNNNNNNNNNNNNNNNNNNNNNNNNNNNNNNNNNNNNNNNNNNNNNNNNNNNNNNNNNNNNNNNNNNNNNNNNNNNNNNNNNNNNNNNNNNNNNNNNNNNNNNNNNNNNNNNNNNNNNNNNNNNNNNNNNNNNNNNNNNNNNNNNNNNNNNNNNNNNNNNNNNNNNNNNNNNNNNNNNNNNNNNNNNNNNNNNNNNNNNNNNNNNNNNNNNNNNNNNNNNNNNNNNNNNNNNNNNNNNNNNNNNNNNNNNNNNNNNNNNNNNNNNNNNNNNNNNNNNNNNNNNNNNNNNNNNNNNNNNNAUGAAAAUGAUAUAAUAUAAGGAAGUGAUGUGGCAUUAUUGUGUGAUUUAAUUGGAUGUAAAUGAGUGAUGUGGAUUAGGGUUAAGAUGGAUAGUAGGAGAACUAUCUAGGAAUUAUAUAUAUAGAUAUAUCCCCGUGGAUUUCCACGACACAAUCAUUAACCACGUGUGUGAAGAAAUUGUUGAACGAGUUUUUAUCAACCAAAAUCGAUACACCGUUGAGGAGCAUGUUGUGUUCCUCACCCUUUUGAUGAGUGUUUUCAUAUAAUUUGGGACCAUAGUUGUAGUCUAUGAGACAAUAUCAACAUAUAUUUUAUAUUAGUUGUGUCAGUUUAAUGGCAAAUAUAUCCCCUUGGAUUUCCACGACACAAUCAUCAACUACGUGUGUGAAGAAAUUGUUGAACGACUUUCUAUCAAUAAAAAUCGAUACAUCGUUGAGGAGCAUGUUGUGUUCCUCACCCUUUUGAUGAGUGUUUUCAUAUAAUUUGGGAUCAUAGUUGUAGUCUAUGAGGCAAUAUCAACAUAUAUUAUAUAUUAGUUGCAUCCGUUUAAUGACAAAUAUAUCCCCUUGAAUUUCCACGACACAAUCAUCAACCAUGUGUGUGAAGAAAUUGUUGAACAAGUUUCUAUCAACCAAAAUCGAUAUAUCGUUGAGAGCAUGUUGUGUUCCUCACCCUUUGGAUGAGUGUUUUCAUAUAAUUUGGAACCAUAGUUGUAGUUUAUAAGGCAAUAUCAAGAUAUAUUAUAUAUUAGUUGUAUUUGUUUAAUGACAAAUAUAUCCCCUUGGAUUUUCACGACACAAUCAUCAACCACGUGUGUGACGAAAUUGUUGAACGAGUUUCUAUCAACCAAAAUCGAUACACCGUUGAGGAGCAUGUUGUGUUCCUCACCCUUUUGACGAGUGUUUUCAUAUAAUUUCACUGUAAACAACAAUCGUGUAUCAAAAAAAUGAUGGAAAAGAAUAAGAAGAAAAUAAAUAUAUUUUGUAAGCAGAUAUAUCACAUAUAAUUCAAUUUGAACCUCUAAACACUUUUCAACGCACAUACUCCCAUUUGAGAUUUACAAGAUCCUUCAUUGACCCAUAUUUGUUUGCUUGAAAUGGAAGACAAUGCCUUGAUGUUGAAGAAUUUUGAUUAACUUCAUUGCAAAUAGACUUCUCACCGUCAAUUGCAUCUAGACAGCUCGAUGAAUUUUUUUAAAUAUCUUUUUUGAGCAAUUUUAAAGCAUGGACAUGUUUUAUUUUUGCGACAUAUUUUAUUUUUGCAUUCUUCUAGUCACGUGUUGAAAUUGGCAUUUGAAAUAGAUUUCCAAAGUUUUCAUUUAGUGCAACCUUCACCAUUUUAAUACAUUUCGAACAACAAAAUGUUUUGUCAUUCGAAAUCUUAUCAAUAAACUCAAAUCAUAUAAGCAUGAGUAAACGAAUACAUGAAAUAGAAACUUUCCCUUAUGAAAUAGUAUUGAGCAUCACUUUCAUUAUCAAUUGCUUCGUUAACUAUCCCUACUUGAAGUGUGCACUCAAGGUAGCUCUGCAUUACUUUCCACGGACUGAGGUAAUAAUGUUUUCCAAUGGACUCUGAUUUAGAAGUCUAGUAGAAAACUUUCAUUAUGACUUUUUCAUCCACUUCUAUAAGUUUCUUUCAUUGAUCAAUUUUUGGUUUAUUUUCAUCCUCUACUUCAUAAUUUUUCGUAAAUAUUUUCUCAAAGACUGCUUCAAAUAAAUCAUCAGCUUUCUUUGCAUAUAAUAGAGUCUAACAAGUAAAAGAAGACCAACUAGAUAUUACAUGUUGGGGAACAAUGCAAGCUAAACAGUGCAUGUAACUCGCCAUUUGCAAGAAACCUUUUACUCAUGUCAAGGUAUAUAUUUUUAGCAACAAAAAUCGAAUUCGCCAUUUUAAAGUCAUUGUUAAUUACUUAUCUCAUGUAGCUCGCCAUUUGCAAAGAGUCUUUUACAUCCACAGCGCAAACAUUAUGAUUGUCUUUUGUUGUUAGCUAAUUAAGGAAAAUAUGAUAAAGUCAUUUUGUGAUUUGAAGAAAUAAAUUGAGCCGAAUAAACUUUAUAAAAGGAUGACUUACUUCUUUGGAAGGAUCAAAUUCAACUUCAAGUUCUUUUGCAAUCUAUUGAGUGUUCUUGAACGUGAUAUGCGCUUUGGAAUUCAUUUCAUGAUUGUGCGACCCGGUCAUUGGAAAAUAUAAGUUUUGUAGAAAUCCUUGUAAAGCACGUGAGUUUUGUUUAAGUUUUCUUUAAGUCCAUCUUCCCAAACACUCAAGUUUUCAAUAUCUCGAUCUAUCUCAAAGAACACACCGUGCAAUAGUGUUUUAAAAACCGGACCGGACAUCGAACCGAUGAGGGUACUGGUUCACUGGUUCAUUGGUCGAACCACUGGGUCACUGGUCGAACCGCAUGACAAAUCGGAUUAAACCGGAUUAAAUCGGUGGAAUGAACCGGUCUCUAUAUAGUUAUUGAACCGGUCGCUAUAUAGUUAAAAAAAAUCAUUGUUACUUUUUUUUUCCCCUUAGAUCUUUCAUUGUUACUUAGGCCCCAUUUGACCUUAUUUAUUUUCUACUUUUCUAUUUCUUUACUUUAUUUCGGUAAUUUUUUUAAAGAGAAAUAGAGCAAAAUACAAUUUUAUACUUCUCUAUUUCUUUUAAGGAGAAGUAGAAAAGUAGAAAAUAAGUAAGCCAAACGAAGCGUAUUAUUAUUAGAAAGACACACUUUCGUAGAUAAUAAAUAAAAUAAAAUCAGUGACAUAAUAUUAAAUGAAGUCUUGUGGUGAGAGGUUUAUAUAUACUCCGUAUGAAUGAAGUCUUGAGUUCGAUCAUCAACUUCAUUGUAAACAAAAAAGUGAGAGUUGNNNNNNNNNNNNNNNNNNNNNNNNNNNNNNNNNNNNNNNNNNNNNNNNNNNNNNNAACAAUAAACAAAAUAUGAAGUUUAUCUAAAAAAUAUAAAAAUAAAAAAAUCAAAAGUAAUUGUGUAAUUAAAGAUCAAAAUUUAUGUGGAAAGUUGUUUUCAUCCAAUAAGUAGAAGACUAUAUGUUGUAAUAUAUAAAAUAAAAUGUAAAUUUAUUAACAAGUAACAUUUGUAGCAUAGUGGUAGCAAACCUUUACUUUUAUCUAAAGGUCAAAGGUUCAACACUCAUCGGUGCCACUUUUCUAAUAUUUUUACACAUUAAAUGAAAACACAUGUUAUGCCAAAAAAAAUGGAAUAACUUGAUUUUAAAAAAAAUAAAAUAACAUAAAAAUCUCAACUUUAAUUGUCAACCAUAGCGAUGGCAACCAUUCCUCAACUUUAAUUGUCUUCAAUUUAAAAUCUCAAUCGCUACACCCUAUGCAACUUCGGAGAGUUCAACAAAGCGCUAAAUAAAUAACAUAAAAAAGCGAUACAAAACAAUAUUAUAUGUUAAAAAAAAUAAAAUAUACCUUCAAGUGUGAUAAAUCUAUGACAUUAAGAAGAAUUAUCAUAGUAUUAUUUUGAAACUCAUAUGUCCCUUUNNNNNNNNNNNNNNNNNNNNNNNNNNNNNNNNAUCCGGCCUUAGGACCGACUAAUCCAAGGGGACCAAUCUCACCGCCCACUUGCGGGAGCCCCAUUUAAAGCCAGAGUUUUUUUGCUCUGUAUGGUCAUAUGUCUCUUAUUUGAUGUCAUCAACAACUUUACAUAUGUUUACCGGAAAUUUCAAAGCAUCCUCAAAAUCAUAUAAUAUUGUUUGUAAGAUAAAAAAGCAUGCACAUAUAUUUCAAAGAAUUAGGAGAAAUAAAAUACAUAAUUUUUUUAAAAUAAUUAAAAAACACAUUGACAAAAUAAGUGGUAACAAGAUUUAUACCAUCGAAUAAGGUUCGGUUUCCUAAAGACAUGAUGCUCGAAGGCAAUAUGCCGCACAUAAAUGAAGAGAAAGAUUGAUUAAACGUGAGUCAUUCUUUAGAACUUCAAGAUACAUUUUUAUGGUCAUUGUCAUUUGGUUUAUGCACUCAUCUACAUUAUCAUUAUAAUUUGAUUUCUUUUCAUUCCUUAUUGAAACUCUUGCAUCUUCAAACAACUUAUUUCUCCCCUCUACUGAAAUAACAUAACAUAAACAAAGUGAUUGUGUAACAUAAACAAAGUGAUUGUUAUUAUCAAUAGUCAACUAUAAAAGCAAUUGAAGAGUGACAUAUUAACGGUUUAUGACCACAACAUAAAUCAAUAGUCGAAUCAAGUUCGGUUUCCUGAAUACAUGAUGCUCGAAAGCAAUAUACCGCACAAAAAUGAAGGUAAAAAUUGGUUAAACGUGAGUCAUUCUUUAGAACUUCAAUAUAUAUUUUUAUGACCAUUGUCAUUUGGUUUAUGCACUCAUCUACAUUGUCAUUAUAAUUUGAUUUGAAGAAAUAAGUCAUUUUGUGAUUUGAAGAAAUAAAUGGAGUCGAAUAAACUUUAUAAAAUGAUGGCUUACUUCUUUGGAGAGAUCAAAUUCAAAUUCAAGUUCUUUUGCAAUCUCUUGAGUGUUCUUGAACGUGAUAUGCGCUUUGGAAUUCAUUUCAUGAUUCUGCGACUCAGUCAUUGGGAAAUAUAAGUUUUGUAGAAAUCCUUGUAAAACACGUGAGUUUUCUUUAAGUCCAUCUUCCCAAGCACUCAAGUUUGCAAUAUCUCGAUCUACCUCAAAGAACACACCGUGCAUAGAAGAAACACAUAGGGGUUCAUUGAAUCUUCGUGUCAACCAUAGCGAUGACAACCAUUCCUCAACUUUAAUUGUCUUCAAUUUGAAAUCUCAACUGCUGCACCCUAUGCAAGUUCGGAAAGUUCAACAAAGCGCUAAAGAAAUAACAUAAAAAUCAAAACUCCUAAAAAUCUUAUGUAAAAGUGAUACAAAGAGUAAUGCUAUAUGUCCCGAAAAAUAGAUCCCGAAAAACUCACGAAUAGCUUUUUUAAUAUAUUUUUUUUUAAUGAAAAUUAAAAAGAAAAUAGGAAAAACAACAAACAACCAAAAAAACCACCGCCAUGUUUCUUGUAAACACCUUCCAAAGGAUUGUUACUUUUUAUUCCAGGAAAAUCUUGAUCAAAAUUAUCUAUUCAAAAACAUAAAAUCUAAUUUCAAACACUUUAGUUUCUUUGAACCAUAGCUACCACUUAUCAGUAUCACUCAGUGGUGGAGGAUCUGCAAAAUCAGAAACAACUGUGAAAGUAUAUAACCAAACUUAUCUCUAAGAAUGGUUGUCGGUGAUAGCUACUGCCAUGAAUUCAUGGAUGAUUAUGAAGCGGCAAUAAAUAAAGAAUAUGAUAAAUACAUAUUUGCUCGCACCAGAGAAAGAGAACUAAUUGAAUUCAUUAGGUUGUUUUGUACCAAAAAAGAACAAGUCAGUUAACAAAAAAAAAUCAGUGCCAAGUCAUUCGGGAAGAUUUCGUGAGUGGGUUUUCGGGAGAUACAGCAUUUUCCGUGAUACAAAACAAUAUUAUAUGUUAAAAAAAUAAAAUAUACCUUCAAGUGUGAUAAAUCUAUGACAUUAAGAAGAAUUAUCAUAGUAUUGUUUUAAAACUCAUAUGUCUCUUAUUUGAUGUCAUAAACAACUUUACAUAUGUUUACCGAAAGUUUCAAAGCAUCUUUUCAAAAUCAUAUAAUAUUUUUUGUAAGAUAAAAAAGCUUGCACAUAUAUUUCAAAGAAUUAGGAGAAAUAAAAUACAUACAUUUUUUAAAAUAAUUAAAAAACACAUUGACAAAAUAAGUGGUAACAAGAUUUAUACCAUCGAAUAAGAUUCGGUUUCCCGAAGACAUGAUGCUCGAAGGCAACAUGCCGCACAUAAAUGAAGAGAAAGAUUGGUUAAACGUGGGUCAUUCUUUAGAACUUCAACAUACAUUUUUAUGGCUAUUGUCAUUUGAUUUAUGCACUUAUCUACAUUGUUAUUAUAAUUUGAUUUCUUCCAAUUCCUUAUCGAAGCUCUUGCAUCUUCAAACAACUUAUUUCUCCUCUCCAUUGAAAUAACAUAACAUAAACAAAGUGAUUGCAUAACAUAAACAAAGUGAUUGUUAUUAUCAAUAGUCAACUAUAAAAACAUUGGAAGAGUGACAUAUUGAAGGUUUAUGACCACGACAUAAAUCAAUAAUCGAAUAAAGUUCGGUUUCUUGAAGACAUGAUGCUCGAAAUCAAUAUGCCGCACAUAAAUGAAGAUAAAAAGUGAUUAAACGUGGGUCAUUCUUUAGAACUUCGAGAUACAUUUUUAUGGUCAUUGUCAUUUGGUUUGUGCACUCAUCUACAUUGUCAUUAUACUUUGAUUUCUUUCCAUUCCUUACUGAAGCUAUUGCAUCUUCAAACAACUUAUUUCUCCCCUCCACUAAAAUAGCAUAACAUAUACAAAGUGAUUGUAUAACGUAAACAAAACGAUUGUUAUUAUCAAUAGUCAACUAUAAAAGCAAUGGAAGAGUGACAUAUUGAAGGUUUAUGGCCAGAGCAUAAAUCAUUCAAAUUUUUUUCUAAAAGCCAAAGAAGUAUUUUAUUAAAAAUAAAAAGAGUGACAUAUCUCCAUAAGUCAUAGUUCAACUAUCAAAAUCUUGUCGAAAUUGGUAAGAGUUCAAAUUUCGGCUCUCUUACGUAUGUGUGCGAGUUUACGAUGGAUUUGUCAUUUGGUCUAUAUGCUAAAAACAAAAAGUGGCAUGUGAUGGGCCAAAUGCACUCAAAAACUUCACAGACAACCAACAAACAAUUUUAAAAGAAAGAAAGAUAAAAAGAAACUUUUAAAUGAGAAAAAAAUGGGGGGAAUUGGAAGAACAAACAAAACUCACUCGUUAAUUGAAGUGGUGUUGGUAGCCAGUUGAGGAGGUUUCUUUGAUUGUUGUUCGCUGUCUGUGGGACUGUGCAGAUAUCGUUGUUGUACUUGUGUUAUAGACGUGGUUGUAUUAUUUUUGAGGGGGUGUUGUUUUUUUGUUCUAAUGGAUAUGUCUUAGUUAGUUAUAAUGUUUUAGUGUUUUAUUUUGAAGCUUUGUUGUUUUUGUGCUUUGGUAGAAAAGAAAGAAUGAAAAAAUUGUUGGAAAUUUGAAUUGGAAUAGGCUUAAGCUGACUAUGGUACAUGGUUUCGGUAGAAAUAUGAGAGAAGUAGAUGAAAUGUAAAAAUGGCGAAUAAACUGACAUGCUUCAGACACUCACACACAACUUUCAACAAGUUUUUUUUCCUUCUUUCAUUAGCCUUUUGAUUUUCAGGGAAGUAAUCUAGAAUUCGGUCGCGAGGUUAAGAAAGUUUGAUUAAGAAUUGUUUUCACAAAAAAUCGAAUUCAAAUUAUUUCAUUCAUCUUAAGGGGAACUCAUUAACUUAGUAUGCAAUCAAUGUAGUAUUACCUAUGCAUUCAGAUUUCUUGAGAGGCUGCCUACUAAAGUUUUGCCUUAUGUGGAUAUGAACUUUGUUGUUUCCGAACCCUUGUUGGUGGAUGGUGUUAUGUAUCUGCUUCAUGCUAUGCAAUUUGAAUAACUCAAUGUUAAGACUACCUGAGAAUUUUAGAAAGUGUUCAUAGUUUAAAAAUAUUACUUUUGAGUUUAACAACUAUGAAAUCCCUAUAAGAAAGCAACUACCUAAUUUGACACUUGAACCAUGUUAGCUUCAUGUUUUUUUAGAUACACUAAUCAUAUUUCACAUGAUGAUGUUAUGAAAAUUGUGGACUAGUUUUUUUUUUCUGUAGCAACUGUUGUUCCUGAAGGUAGAGCUGUCAAAUGGGCUAGCCCGGCCCAGCCCGACCCAGUGGGCCAGACUAUAUAUAUGAGCUAGUUCGGCCCAACCCAAUUUUUAUUGGGCUACAUAUUUAUUAGCCCGGUCUGGCCCUUAUGGGCCAUGUGGGCUAAUGGUCUAGCCCGACCCAUUUCAUUUUAUUUUUCCCCAGUUAUUCGAUCUUUUCCCCAUAUAAUUGUAUGUCAGUGUAAAUAAUUUUUACAUCAGCACUAAUUAUCAAUUAAACUCAAGUUUAAUUCUUAUAAAAGAAAUUAAAUCAAAUUAAUAAAUUAUAAAUUAAUUUUUUAAAAAGUUUUAGGUAAGUAUGACCCUUUUUAUUAUGCUUACACAUUUAAUUAUAUUUUUUAUAAUAACCUUUCAAUCACAUGAUAAUUUUUUACGUUUUUAAUUGAUAUUAUUUUUACAAAAAUGACAUAAUUUUUUCGUUAAUGGCCGGCCCAAAGCCCGACGGGCUAGCCUGGUCCAACCCAAUUUUUCAUUUGGGCUAAUGGGAUUGGGCCAAAAAGGAACGGUUUUAUUUGGGCUAGGAUUUUUGAGGCCCGAUCCGCCCAAGCCCAAGGGCCCGCCCAUUAGCCCGACCCAUUUUUGACAACUCUCCCUGAAGGUAGGGGUGGACAACGGGCUGGGCCGGUUCGGUCCCAAAAGCCUAGUCCGACCCAACCCACGGGUGCAAUACACUUCGACCCAUAAGAAUGAGACAUUCUUCCAAAUCAUAUUAAGAAAGUGGGAUUUAGUGUGGCGAUGUGGCGAAAAUUAUGGUUGACAUUGGUUGACAGUGUAAAAUUAAUUUUACACAGUCAGUACAUAUUCUUUUUUCUCUAAAGUUAAACAUAAAAAAUGAAAAACUAAAUCUAUUUUUUUAUCACAAGAAAUUUACAGAUUGUGCUCCAAAUCAAGAUAGAGAAAAAUCUCACGGCUCAAAGAAUAUCUGCAGAUAUAUUUACAUUUACUUCCAUAUAAAAACACUAGUUGGACUCGAACAUAAAACUUCUCAAAUUUUAAAACAUGUCAUUUUACCACUAGAUUAAUUAUUUGGAGGUAAGUGCAUAACUCAACUAAUUUGAGCCAAAAAUUAAUACAAAUUCUAAAUUCACAUUCAAAAUGUUAACGUUCAAAACAAUUUUAUUUAUUUGAUUUUGCUUGAUCAGUCAAAUUCUUUGGAUAAUUUAUUUGAGUUUUAUCCUCAAUAUGAUUGUGGUAAAAAAGAGCCCAAUACCAUAAAAUACCAAAAUUCAGCAUAAAAUAUACAUUAAAUAUAUCAAUUAUUAAUAAAUUUUAAAAAUGUGUUGAUUCUUAUAAAAAUAACAAGAGAAAUAAUAAAAAUAAAGAUGUCAAAUUGUCGAUGUAAAAUCAUAAUAGGUAAGCCAUUCUCAAAGUUUCUCCAAUAUUUUUUCUUCUAUUUAACCGUCCUAAUAAUUCCAAUCCCUAUUGUACAUUGAGUCUCACUCAGAAACCAAUGAAGAAGAAUCAAAGAAAGCACAAAAAGGGUUGUUUGUUGAACCUUUAAUUUUGUAUGGUCUACAAUCUAGAAUCAUUCAACUUCAAAACAAUUGUCCUAUACUCCUAUGCCUAGUCAAAUCCCAGCAUUCUCAUAACUGACCCCAAAUAUACGUUUGGCCUCCUCUGACCGUAACCAACGUUAACUGUUUAUAUUUAUUUAAUAGUACCAUUACUACCAAUUAAUUAAAUAAACUUAUAUAGGUCCAAUGAAUGAAGAUUGACUCAUAUCUGAGCAAAUCUCAAAUACUAUAAGCAAAAAUUAGUAUUAAAUCCAUCAACUUUUAUUUUUUUUAUUUUUUUGCUUAUAUCAGUUUUCUACCAAAAAAAAGAGUAGUAUUCCAAAAGGGUGAAAAUUCAACUUCCACGGUUGGCGAGCAAACUUUUUUUUUUUUUUUAUUGUCGAGUAGUCUAAAUUUUGGCAAAAUUAUAUUGCAGAUCUAUUCCUAUUUAUUUGUAAUAAUUUGAUCAUUUAUCUUAUUUAUUUGUAAUAGUUUGGUCAUUUAUUUUUUUUUGUAACACUAUGAUCCUUUAUUAUUUUUUAUUUGUAACAUUUAGGUCUUUUAUUUUUAUAAAUAAAUAAGACAAUGACCAAAAUGUUACAAAAAAAAUACUAAAGUGUUACAAAUAAAAAAGAUAAAGACCAAAGUGUUACAAAUAAAAGAUAAAUGACCAAAAUAUUACAAAAAAAAAGAUAAAAGACCAAAGUGUUUAAAAAAUAAGAUAAAUGACCUGCAUGGUAAUUUUACCCUAAAUUUUUUAUCUUUAAUGUAGACAAGUGGGAUGACCCAAAUUUGAACUACAGUCCCCUGCAUAUAUAAUAAAAUGUAUCUGCUAACAUAGCUAAACUCACGGGACGACAUGCAAACUUUUCUUUUGUCAAGUAGCCCAGUGACGAAAAAUUUCAGUCAUAAGAUGGAUACAUAAAAUGACUGGGAUUCGAACCCCAAUCUCCUGCAUAUAUAAUGUAACGUUCCUCUACCGAAAGAAUCCUAAAAAUCCAACUCACAUAAAAUUUUCUAUGCAAAAUAAUAAAAUAAAAGAAUAAAAAAUAACCGUAUCCAAGGACCAGGAUUUUUUAAUUUUUUUAUCAAAGCAGGACCAGAUACAUAGAUACACAAAAUUGAAUUGAAAAAUGAAUGAAUAAAAUUGUGAUUAAUAAAUAAAUAAGAUUUGGUUUUGGAUUUGGAAUUUGACAGGAGAAGAGACAAGUGGACCUAGUAGAUGGAUUUUGCAAAGAUUUCUUAGAUUUGGAUCCUCCGAAUCUUAUACCUUUAUUAAUUUUCUUUACCCUUUUCUGCCUUUUCAAAUUUCAAUUUAGCCCCACAAAUCAGUUUACUUUUAUUUUUCUUAUUUUUCAUCAUCCUUCUGGUUUCUAGUAGAAGGGGACUCUAGUAGUUCAGAGUUCGGGACGAGUUGUGACACUAAGUGAUUUUAGUCCCUUCCUAAAUGCAGUGAAGAUGGAUCAAACCGUGAUACUCCCUACUAAGUACAGCGUCAAUCACCGCCGAACCACUUAACAUUUGAUUUUAUUUUUCUUUUAUUUCAUUUUUACUAUUUUAUUACUAUUACUAUUAUUAGCACGCGUCCUUUAUUUUUCUCUUUCCUAAAUAUCAUGUAAAUAUAACCCCCACUCUUUCAUUUUCCAUUUUCACUCACACAACUCUUGUGUUUUUUAUUUUCAGUUAUUUCUUAUAACAAUAAAAAUUUCGGAGAAUUUGAAAAAAACAAAAAAUUCAUUUGAGAAUUUUUGAGUUUAUCAGUUUGUUAUGGCUGCCGCCGGCGAGAUUUUCCGGUCGAAUUUGACUGAAUUGUUGGAGGAAUCACAUUCAGGUGAUAAUGAAUUACACGUGCUUGCUGUUGAUGAUAGUCUUGUUGAUCGUAAAGUCAUUGAACGUUUGUUGAAGAUUUCUUCAUGCAAAGGUAUAAUAAUGAUCGUAAAGUCAUAGAGAAUUCAAUGUUUUUUUGUGAUUUUUUUGUUUGGAAUUGAUUCUGAAAGUGUGUUUGGAAUUGGAUUUUGUUGUUGUUUUCAGUUACGGUUGUGGAGAGUGCAAGAAGAGCUCUUCAGUUUUUGGGAUUGGAUGGAGAUGGAGAGAAUAGUGAUAUUGGAUUUGAUGUAAGCAAAUUCUGUUUUUGGAUUCUAAAUUGUGUUUGGUUAUAUGAAGUUCAUACAAGACACACGGACACUCUAACAUGUCGACACUGAUAAUAAUUUGACAAAAUGACGUAAUUCAAUGUAAUCAUAUGUGUCAGUGUUAGACAUUGACGCCGACGCACAUCUAAUAUGAGGAGUGUUCCUGUUUCAUAGGUUUGAAUAUUGGAAAUUAGAUUGGAUUGGUGCUGAUGUUGUUAUUUUGUUUGAUUUGUUAUGGUGGCAGGGUGUGAAGGUUAAUUUGAUAAUGACCGAUUAUUCGAUGCCUGGGAUGACAGGAUAUGAACUAUUGAAGAAAAUCAAGGUGGUUAUUUAUUGGUUGUUGAUUUUAAUAUGUUGCUGAAUUUCUUUAUUUGAAUUGUUGAUUAUGGAAUUAUGUUGUAUUGUAUGUAAAGUUUUGUUUUGAAAUUGUGUAUUGGAGGAAGGUGGUUCUUAUUAGUCUCUACCUGUUUGUGUUAAUUUCAGCAGGAGUCUUCUGUUUUUAGGGAGAUUCCAGUGGUGAUCAUGUCGUCGGAGAAUGUUUUGACUCGAAUUGAUAGGUAAGAAAUUGAAUGAAUAUUACAUCUGAAACAUGACAAUUUCUCGUCAAUAAUAUAUGCAUAUUUGGACAUUAAAUGAUGAACUAUUGAAUCCAAUCUAAAGUUAAGUUCAUAUUGAAUUCCCUAAAGUUUAUAAAUUCUAAUCAGGAAAUAUGCAUACAAUUUGCCACCUAAUCUGGAAAUAAAUUCAUUGUAUGGAUCACAAAUAUUAUCCUAUGGAGGCACGAAUGUUAUGUGUUAACUGUUUAAGCUCCCAGUGUUUUUCACUCAGGCUUAUACUAUAAGCCAUGUCUUGAUUAACACCAAGAAUGGAUGAAGUGAUUGUAGAGAUGCAAGAGACUACUCAGUUCUACAUAAUUAUUAACAACCUAAAAAACAUUUAUAGACUAUUUGGUAAACUAUUGAUGCAUGAAGUUUCUGUGCUGUUAUGUGGCUGGCACUACUAUUUUUAGUCCUGCUUCUUAAUGUUUUUAUUUUCACUCAUUUGCAGGUGCCUCGAGGAAGGAGCUGAGGAUUUUCUAUUGAAGCCAGUCAAGUUGUCAGAUGUAAGGCGCUUGAAAGAAUUUAUCAUGAGAGGCGAAGUGAAGGAUGGUGAGAAAAAUUCUCUCAAACGAAGGCGAUCAUCAGAUGAUUGCAGUCCAUCUCCUCUAUCAACGACAUUCUCACCAAUGCGUCAUUUGUGCGAUCCACCAUCAUCAGUGUUCUCACCACUCUCACCAUCCACAUUAUCCUCUAAGAAAUCUAGACUGUGAUAAGAGAUUGAUUAGUCUCCCAUAUGUCUCCAUUUUUGCAAUACUAAUGUCCAUAUUUUGAAUUUGUUAACCAGUUUAUACAGUUUGUACUCGGGAUUUUGAAUGACAAAGGGCAAUAUAUACCAGAAUCACUAUUUUUUGGCCUCUUAUUUGUUCACCGAUUUUGCUUCUAUGACUCUCACUAUAUUUCCACUUUUUGAACAAUUUUUGAAGAAUCAACUUAACAAAAGAUUAAAGAAGUCUUAAAACUUUGUGAAAUUCACAAGUUAAUAAAAUGGUAAAUAACUAAAUAUGAAUGGAAAGUAGUAACAUUAUAGUUAUAAUUUUGUUUGGCUUGCUUUAUUCUAAGUUUUACUCGCAUAAAAAAAGGACUACAUUGCAUCAAAGCUAAUCUAAAGCUUAAAGCUAGCAACUUAGCAAAUCUAAAUUCAAUGACAUUUUUUUGACCAAAAUUAAUCUGGUAUUUUCUUUAUUUACUUAAUUAUUGUUGUUUUAUAGAAACAUGUCUAAGAUAGUACUAUGGUCCAUGCUUUUAAGAAAUGGUCAGCAAAGGUGUUAUGGCUAUGUAUACACAAAAAAAAGGUGUUAUGGCUAUAAAGCUUGCAAUGCUUUUUGGUGCAGGAAUAUAUGUGUUCUUUCUAAGAAAAUGUCAGAGCAUUGUUUUGCUUUUUUUACUAAUCAACAAUAGGACCAAGAUUAUGUUCUCCCUUUAUAAGAGAGAUACACUACCACCAGGUCCACCACUACACUGUUUGAUCUAUUUGAAUGUUUGUGUAGAGGUAUUAGUAUCACCAUACUACUAUUAAUUGUUUUCUAAGAUUUCCAUUUUACUGUAGGAGGAGUAAACUUGAGCCAUAUUUUAGUAUACAUAUCAACAUAAAUACAAGCUUAUAAGGGCAUACCAGAUUGACAACAUUGAAGACUGAGUGAAGGUUUCAAGUGACUUUAAUCAAUUUGAAUGCAAGUUACCUCCCCUAGGUAAGUCAAUUGUGUCUGUGCUUAAUUUCUUGCUCGAAUGAAAUAUAAGCAAAAAAAAUUAAAAUGCAUUUGAUUCAAAUUUUGGACUAAAUACAUUUGACUUUUUAGAUAUUUUUGCUUAUAUUUCAUUUCAGAUGGUCUAAUUAGACAGUCAAUCUCGUCUUAAUUUAGCUUGCUAUCAUCACCGUUAGUAUGUACAAUUUGAAAUUAACUGUACUAAAUAUCUUACCAUUUUUAUAUGCUUGGUUCUUGAUCACACUAUAGUUUCAAAUUUUGAUUGCAACACAAUGUGUGCUAAAUGUGUUGAAAUAGUGACUUUUAUCAUAUUAUAGUCAAAUCAUAUUUCUUAAUUUCUUCUCAAUUCUCAUGUCAAAUUAUAAUCUUCUAAUUAUGGCAACCUGUUGUAUUUGCAGACUAUAUGAUGUAUGAAGUUGAGCAAAACAUAGGUUAUUUGAUCAAAGAAGAGGGAGAAGGAUCUUAUAGCAAUGCAAUGGAUGAGAAAAUUUAUCAAGCAAUUUAUCCUUUAGAUACUGAUCUAACUCAAGCAUUUAAUCCUUGAAUAUUUGAUUUUGAUGUAAUGAUAUUGACAUUAGUUGUUUUCGAUUGUUUUUUUUCCCUUAAUUUUUUUCUUUUGGUCUUAGAUAAAGUGAUAAUCCACUGAAAUUAAACUCGCAUAUAAUUGUGGGAUUUCGGGUUCGAACCCGGGUCACGACGUCCGGCUUAACAAUUUCGACAAUUUUGCCAAUUGAGCUAAUCUGCCACCUAAUCAGGAAAUAAAUUCAUUGUGUGGAUCACAAAUAUUAUCCUAUGGAGGCAUGAGUGUUAUGUGUCCACUGUUUAAGCUCCCAGUGUUUUUCACUCAGGCUUAUGCUAUAAGCCAUGUCUUGAUUAACACUAAGAAUGGAUGAAGUGAUUGUAGAGAUGCAAAAGACUACUUACUCAGUUCUACAUACUUAUUAACAACC
rnacentral:lncRNA from 1 species